AAAUAAAGCAAAAAAAGUAAAAAAAAGUGUGUGUGAAUAUGUGAAAAGUGCUAAAAAAAUAAAUAAAAAAUAAGGCCAAAAAUAAAUAAAAUAUGGAGAAAUUAAAUUUUCCUAAGUGUGUUAUGUAAAAAAAGUAUCAAAAAAGCGUUUGUGGUGUCUCAAUGAAAAAACGUAAAAAUUCAAAAACAGACUAGAACUAAAACUAGAAACAAUAUUAAUAAAUGAACGUAAAAUAAAAAAAUGUUGUUUAAUGAAAAACACCCAUCGCCUACGGUUAGCGGAUAUUUAAAUCCACUACGAACGACUUCAACACUUCAAACUCCUGAAUUUUACGACUAAUGACAAACUGUGAAAAAGCAACGCUAGCAGAAAAAUUCACAUGUUUGCUCAUAGUGAAAAAGUGAACUGUUUGCCGGCAUAAAUGUAGGAGCGUCGAGGCAAACCACUUGAACAACAAUUGAAAUACGAUGAGUGCUUGCUUACAUUUACAUUUACGUCAUACAUACAUACAUAUUGGAAUAUACAGCGGAAGGUGCGACCUCGGAGUGGUAAAUUAAAAACCCGGUGAAGGAGAAGAAAUUAUAAUAAAGCAAAUAGAAACAUUGAGAUGUAAAUGUAAAAAAUUUUUAGAAUAAAAUAAAAAAUAUAUUUGCAGAAGAAAAUUUGAAGAUGUGUUUUUAUGCAGAUGAAGGAUG